GUCGACCGGCGAAUGGGUGAGUAACGCGUAUCCAACCUGCCCCUGUCCCGGGAAUAGCCCUCGGAAACGAGGAUUAACGCCCGAUUUGCGGAGCAGCCGCAUGGCAGUUCCGUGAAAUGCCUAAGGACGGGGAUGGGGAUGCGUCUGAUUAGCCAGCUGGCGGGGUAACGGCCCACCAGGGCUUCGAUCAGUAGGGGUUCUGAGAGGAAGGUCCCCCACACUGGAACUGAGACACGGUCCAGACUCCUACGGGAGGCAGCAGUGAGGAAUAUUGGUCAAUGGCCGAGAGGCUGAACCAGCCAAGUAGCGUGAGGGACGAAGGCCCUAUGGGUUGUAAACCUCUUUUAUGCGGGGAUAAAGAGCGCCACGCGUGGCGUGUUGCAGGUACCGCAUGAAUAAGGACCGGCUAAUUCCGUGCCAGCAGCCGCGGUAAUACGGAAGGUCCGGGCGUUAUCCGGAUUUAUUGGGUUUAAAGGGAGCGCAGGCGGAGCGCCAAGUCAGCCGUCAAAUGGCUCAGCUCAACUGAGUCCUGCGGUUGAAACUGGCGCCCUUGGGUGCACAAGAGGCAGGCGGAACUCGUGGUGUAGCGGUGAAAUGCAUAGAUAUCACGAAGAACUCCGAUUGCGAAGGCAGCUUGCUGGGGUGUUAACCGACGCUCAUGCUCGAAAGGCGCGGGUAUCAAACAGGAUUAGAUACCCUGGUAGUCCACGCAAGGUAAACGAUGAUGACUAACUGUCGGCGAUAAACAGUCGGUGGCCAAGCGAAAGCGAUAAGUCAUCCACCUGGGGAGUACGUUCGCAAGAAUGAAACUCAAAGGAAUUGACGGGGGCCCGCACAAGCGGAGGAACAUGUGGUUUAAUUCGAUGAUACGCGAGGAACCUUACCCGGGCUCGAACGGCUAGUGAACGACCCAGAGAUGGGAAGGCCCUUCGGGGCGCUGAGUCGAGGUGCUGCAUGGUUGUCGUCAGCUCGUGCCGUGAGGUGUCGGCUGUGAAGUGCCAUAACGAGCGCAACGCCGUUGCCGCUAGUUACCAUGCAAGUAAAGUUGGGGACUCUAGCGGGACUGCCACCGCAAGGUGAGAGGAAGGCGGGGAUGACGUCAAAUCAGCACGGCCCUUACGUCCGGGGCGACACACGUGUUACAAUGGCGGUUACAGAGGGAUGCCACCCAGCGAUGGGAAGCCAAUCUCGAAAAGCCGCCUCAGUUCGGACUGGAGUCUGCAACCCGACUCCACGAAGCUGGAUUCGCUAGUAAUCGCGCAUCAGCCAUGGCGCGGUGAAUACGUUCCCGGGCCUUGUACACACCGCCCGUCAAGCCAUGAAAGCCGGGGGUGCCUGAAGUUCGUGACC
rnacentral:rRNA from 1 species